rnacentral:tRNA from 1 species
GUAAAAAUAGCUUAAUUUAAUUAAAGCACUUGAUUUUUAACCAAGCGAUGAAGGAGGAGACGACUUCUUUUUACA